AGAUUGAACGCUGGCGGCAGGCCUAACACAUGCAAGUCGAGCGGCAGCACGGGUACUUGUACCUGGUGGCGAGCGGCGGACGGGUGAGUAAUGCCUAGGAAUCUGCCUAGUGGUGGGGGAUAACGUUCGGAAACGGACGCUAAUACCGCAUACGUCCUACGGGAGAAAGCGGGGGACCUUCGGGCCUCGCGCCAUUAGAUGAGCCUAGGUCGGAUUAGCUAGUUGGUGAGGUAAUGGCUCACCAAGGCGACGAUCCGUAACUGGUCUGAGAGGAUGAUCAGUCACACUGGAACUGAGACACGGUCCAGACUCCUACGGGAGGCAGCAGUGGGGAAUAUUGGACAAUGGGCGAAAGCCUGAUCCAGCCAUGCCGCGUGUGUGAAGAAGGUCUUCGGAUUGUAAAGCACUUUAAGUGGAGGAAGGUUGUAACCUAAUACGUUGCAACUUUGACGUUACCGACAGAAUAAGCACCGGCUAACUCGUGCCAGCAGCCG
rnacentral:rRNA from 1 species